UACGUAGGGACCAAGCGUUGUUCGGAUUUACUGGGCGUAAAGGGCGCGUAGGCGGCGUGUUAAGUCAGCUGUGAAAUCUCCAAGCUUAACUUGGAACGGUCAGCUGAUACUGAUGUGCUAGAGUGCAGAAGGGGCAACCGGAAUUCUUGGUGUAGCGGUGAAAUGCGUAGAUAUCAAGAGGAACACCUGAGGUGAAGACGGGUUGCUGAGCUGACACUGACGCUGAGGCGCGAAAGCGUAGGGUAGCAAACGGG
rnacentral:rRNA from 1 species